rnacentral:rRNA from 1 species
UACGGGGGGGGCAAGCGUUGUUCGGAAUUACUGGGCGUAAAGGGCUCGUAGGUGGCCAACUAAGUCCGACGUGAAAUCCCUCGGCUUAACCGGGGAACUGCGUCUGAUACUGGAUGGCUUGAGUUUGGGAGAGGGACGCGGAAUUCCAGGUGUAGCGGUGAAAUUCGUAGAUAUUGGGAAGAACACCGGUGGCGAAGGCGGCUAUCUGGCCCGUAAUUGACGCUGAGGCGCGAAAGCGUGGGGAGCAAACAGG